UCAGUCGACUCCUACGGGGAGGCAGCAGUGGGAAUAUUGCACAAUGGGGGAAACCCUGAUGCAGCCAUGCCGCGUGUGUGAAGAAGGCCUUCGGGUUGUAAAGCACUUUCAGUAGGGAGGAAGGUAGUGUAGUUAACACCUGCAUUAUUUGACGUUACCUACAGAAGAAGCACCGGCUAACUCCGUGCCAGCAGCCGCGGUAAUACGGAGGGUGCGAGCGUUAAUCGGAAUUACUGGGCGUAAAGCGCAUGCAGGCGGCCUGUUAAGUCAGAUGUGAAAGCCCGGGGCUUAACCUCGGAAUUGCAUUUGAAACUGGCAGGCUAGAGUCUUGUAGAGGGGGGUAGGAAUUUCAGGUGUAGCGGUGAAAUGCGUAGAGAUCUGAAGGAAUACCAGUGGCGAAGGCGGCCCCCUGGACAAAGACUGACGCUCAGAUGCGAAAGCGUGGGGAGCAAACAGGAUUAGAUACCCUGGUAG
rnacentral:rRNA from 1 species